GAAGACACAAGUUACAAGACCGACACAUAGUAGAGAUUACAAGGCAUGAAAGGUAUUACAUCGCUUGGUAAGAAAUUACUAAUCAUAACUGAAGUAAAAAUGGGUAUUACAUAAACGUAAAAGAAUGAAAGAACUUGAUCAUAUUUACAAAACAUGACUGAUACAAGUAUUACAUAGCAAUCAGAUUCACCAAUUAAUCAUAACUGAUCUAAAUAUAAGUAUUACAGUAUUCAUUUAUGCUUCCUCAGUAACAAGACUUCCUUCUAACACUUACUUUUCCUUUGUUGAUUUUUACCCUUAAUUGCCUUCUAAUGAGUUUGAAGAUGCCCUUAUCCUUAUAUAAACCAAACUACAAACCACCUAAAUUUGUAUUUACUCAACAAUUAAUUAAAUUUUAUCAUUUAUAUGCCUGACAGAACAAACAUUCUGAAAAGGAGUAUAGGUAAUACUCCUUUUAAGAAUGUUUGUUCUGUCAGGCAUAUAAAUGAUAAAAUGUAAUUAAUUGUCUUCCUAGAAAAGGAAGACAAUGGAAAAGUAUAUGGAGGAAGGAAGAGAGGCCUCUGGUGAUAAUCUUUUCAUUGAUAUCUUCUAAAAACGGCACUAUAUACUGCAUAAAUUAAGUCUAAUAUAUCAUCAAUCACAUAAAAUGAUCUACAACACAACACUUCCAUUGGUUUGAUAUCAUGUUACUGUGUGCCGCUGUUUGAGGAGAAGAGCUGAAGUACUCUGCCUCUUAAUCCUUGCAUCACAUUCCCAGUCACAUGCCCUACCCUCACAAUCUUGCCUUGUUCUUAUAGCCGCCUCCUCAGCACAGAGCUUUUCCCUGGUCCCCUGUGCCUACCUACAGCACUAGUUAUUACAGUACUCUUUAUGACAUUAUUCACCAGGUGUAGUGCAUGUAAUAUUAUUCAACAAACUUCUCUAUUAAUGACCAAAGUUACUUUAUUCAAAUGACAGGAAACUCAUCCCUAUUUAGAGGUAAAUAGACAUUUCAGUUCUAUCAUCAUCAUCAUCAUCUGCAUCUUUGUGGUCCAAUGGUUAACAAGUCUAGCUAUGAAUUUGCUGGCGUGGGUUCCAUUCCUGGCCUGGGCAGUCAGCAUACUGCUCACCCACCUGUUUACUCUCCCUUCCAGGCUGAUCUAUAAAUGGGUACAAGGGAAAACCUACAAAAGGUAAACUGUGGUAACCCAAAUAAUCCAAGGCUUUGUUGAGGUCAGCCUGCAAGAUUAGUUAGUCAUUUUUUUCUUGUGUAAUUUUGCUACAUCAGUAAAGUUUCCCACUGAACUGUACGUCCUUUGUUUCUCAGACUACACUGGAGCCACUGUUCCUGACCCUGCAGGGCAAGGCUCCCUCUGAACCUCCUUUUCUUUCCUCUUUCUCUAAUGCCUAUCAUGACUUUGGUCACUGUCCUCCUGCGUUUAAGGGGUAGAACUUAAUGUUGGACAAUCUAUUAUUGGUGCCUUGGGCCUUUUCAACUUUCUUCCCCAACAUCUCUCCUUGGUAAAUGUUUAGUGUAGCUCUGCCACCUCAAAUUACCAUAAUGGCCCUCAUAUUGUGGUAAAACUAACCUAACCUAACAUUUGCAACAGCUUGCCGGAUUCUGUUGUUUCUGUCAUCUCAGUGAACUCCUUCAAACGCCAGCUGGACAAGUAUAUUGGUCUGCUCUUAUAUGAGAUUAAUUAAUUUGUUCUAGUGGUUUGGUUGUUCUAUUGGGUGUUGACUGUGUCUUGAAAACAGUAGUUGUCCGUGCCAUCUCGCGAUGUCAUAUUAACCAACCAUCUGACCAUCUUCAUGAAAACCAUCCGCUGCAGUUUUGGUUGGAGACAUCACACUGUUUUGGGAUGGGGCGUGUCCCCAUCCAGGUAAGAACCCUGAUUGGUGCACUCCAGACCACAGCUGCCGCCCUGACUGUCUCCUACACACCAGCAACGCAGGAACGGUGUGCCUCUGGUUUCCUUAGGUUAGAGGGCAUUUAUGUAUUUUCACCCUUUAACCAUGAUAUGAGGGCAUAUAUGGUGUUUCGAGGUGGCAAAGCUGAUCUCUACACCCUUCCCUAUUGAUUUCUGGGAGCAUUGAAGGUUAGUAGAAUUCCUAACUAUAUACAGUAGAAUAUCUAUAUGACAACAGAAGAGAAGUUGAUCAAGUAGGAGACGAGAUAUCAGCGCGAUAGUAAAACCAAACUUAUCCGCAGAGCUAAACAACGCAUUAACCAAACUUUACCCCAGAGCUAAACUACACAUUAACCACAACAUUCACACCUGAGCAGUCAUACCUAUAGUGAUGGGAUGAGAGGCAAGGACAGUGGUCAGGACGGUAACUUCACCUAAUUAAUUGUCCCCAAAUAUGCCCAGUUAAUAUAAAGUUUACAGGAGGUGAAUAUGCCUGUGUUAAUAUAAAGCUUACAUGAGAGGUGAAUAUGCCUGGGGUAAUAAAAAGCUUACAUGAGAGGUGAAUAUGCCUGUGUUAAUAUAAAGCUUACAUGAGAGGUGAAUAUGCCUGUGUUAAUAUAAAGCUUACAUGAGAGGUGAAUAUGCCUGUGUUAAUAUAAAGCUUACAUGAGAGGUGAAUAUGCCUGUGUUAAUAUAAAGCUUACAUGAGAGGUGAAUAUGCCUGUGUUAAUAUAAAGCUUACAUGAGAGGUGAAUAUGCCUGUGUUAAUAUAAAGCUUACAUGAGAGGUGAAUAUGCCUGUGUUAAUAUAAAGCUUACAUGAGAGGUGAAUAUGCCUGUGUUAAUAUAAAGCUUACAUGAGAGGUGAAUAUGCCUGGGGUAAUAUAAAGCUUACAUGAGAGGUGAAUAUGCCUGGGGUAAUAUAAAGCUUACAUGAGAGGUGAAUAUGCCUGGGGUAAUAUAAAGCUUACGUGAGAGGUGAAUAUGCCUGGGGUAAUAUAAAGCUUACAUGAGAGGUGAAUAUGCCUGUGUUAAUAUAAAGCUUACGUGAGAGGUGAAUAUGCCUGGGGUAAUAUAAAGCUUACGUGAGAGGUGAAUAUGCCUGGGGUAAUAUAAAGCUUACGUGAGAGGUGAAUAUGCCUGGGGUAAUAUAAAGCUUACGUGAGAGGUGAAUAUGCCUGGGGUAAUAUAAAGCUUACAUGAGGUGAAUAUGCCCGGGGUAAUAUAAAGCUUACAUGAGGUACAUUUAUACACGUAACCUACGAGUAUAUUCAGCAUUGUCACAUCUUUUCCUAAUAUCUUGAGUCAACCAAUUUUGGCACUUAAUAUCAGUAUGACGACGCAUCAGCGGUGAUUGCUAUGUAGAGUAUUAUUCCUUUUCCUAUCAUAGAGAUCCAACUAGCCAUAUAAAACACGGCAUCACGGCUUAAAAGUAAUAAAUUAAUAAUAACCAGCAAGUCUCAUGUCACGCCUCACAUGACUCUUGCAUCAUGCUAAGGUAAACAAAUCCCUAAUAGGCUCAAUUUCUCCAUUAAACACCUAACCCUGCCACGUCAUAC